rnacentral:rRNA from 1 species
AGGACGAACGCUGGCGGCGUGCUUAACACAUGCAAGUCGAACGGAAAGGCCCUGCUUUUGUGGGGUGCUCGAGUGGCGAACGGGUGAGUAACACGUGAGUAACCUGCCCUUGACUUUGGGAUAACUUCAGGAAACUGGGGCUAAUACCGGAUAGGAGCUCCUGCUGCAUGGUGGGGGUUGGAAAGUUUCGGCGGUUGGGGAUGGACUCGCGGCUUAUCAGCUUGUUGGUGGGGUAGUGGCUUACCAAGGCUUUGACGGGUAGCCGGCCUGAGAGGGUGACCGGCCACAUUGGGACUGAGAUACGGCCAGACUCCUACGGGAGCAGCAGUGGGGAAUAUUGCACAAUGGCGGAAGCCUGAUGCAGCAACGCCGCGUGCGGAUGACGCCUCGGUGUAAACCGCUUCGCCUGUGACGAAGACGUGAGUGACGGUAAGUAGGUAAAGAAAGACGACCGGACUAACUAACGUAGCCACGACAGCCGC